rnacentral:rRNA from 1 species
UGGGGAAUAUUGCACAAUGGAGGGAACUCUGAUGCAGCGACGCCGCGAGAACGAAGAAGGCUUUCGAGUCGUAAAGUUCUUUUAUAUGGGAAGAUAAUGACGGUACCAUAAGAAAAAGCCCCGGCUAACUACGUGCCAGCAGCCGCGGUAAUACGUAGGGGGCUAGCGUUGUCCGGAAUCACUGGGCGUAAAGGGUUCGCAGGCGGAAAUGCAAGUCAGGUGUAAAAGGCAGUAGCUUAACUACUGUAAGCAUUUGAAACUGCAUAUCUUGAGAAGAGUAGAGGUAAGUGGAAUUUUUAGUGUAGCGGUGAAAUGCGUAGAUAUUAAAAAGAAUACCGGUGGCGAAGGCGACUUACUGGGCUCAUUCUGACGCUGAGGAACGAAAGCGUGGGUAGCAAACAGG